CGGGCAGGUCAGACGAUCGCUGGUGUAGCGGCGGCUUUACGCCGCCAUUAUGCUGGAGGAAAGUCCGGACUCCGCAGGGUAACGCGCCUGGUAACGCCAGGGGGUUUGUAGCACAGGCUUAUAGCCUGUGCGAUCUUCGCAGAAUACGCAUGCUCAGUUCGGCGCGAUGCGUGGAUUUGCGCAGGCUGCAAGCCUGUGCUACGAACUACGGACAGUGCCACAGAAAAUAAACCGCCGGUGCGUUCCGCCUCUGUGACAGGCCCGAGGAAAACCUCGGGCACAUCCUCCAAGGGCAGAGCACAUCUGGUAAGGGUGAAAAGGUGGGGUAAGAGCCCACCGCUCCGAUGGCGACAUCGGAGGCACGGCAAACCCCGCGUGGAGCAAGGCCAAAUAGGAGGGGAGGGCUGUCCCGGCCCGUUGUGGCGCAAGCCAUAGCCCGCACCGAGCAAUCGGCGCGGGCAUCAACCCUCGGGUAGGCCGCUUGAGCGGCGCAGCGAUGCGCCGCCUAGAGGAAUGAUCGUCACGGUAUGCAGGCCGUUCGUCGGACGCAUACCGACAGGAUCCGGCUUAUAGACCUGCCCGCCAA
rnacentral:RNase_P_RNA from 1 species